ACACUUAAUUGGCAGGGGAGGUACUAUGAUCCUGAAGGUGGUUUUCCAGGGUGAGGCUUAUCCCUUGCUCUCAGGAUGUGCCGACCAUGUGAUUUCCCCAAAUGUGGGAAACUUCAUUGCAUAAUUUGUGCUAAUGGGGGACUGAAUUCACGCUCUCUCCAG